CAACAGUAAUAUAGUCCAC
rnacentral:misc_RNA from 1 species